rnacentral:rRNA from 1 species
AGAGUUUGAUCCUGGCUCAGAGUGAACGCUGGCGGCAUCGAUUAGGCAUGCAAGUCGAGCGAGACCUUCGGGUCUAGCGGCGAACGGGUGAGUAAAGUAUGGAUAACCUGCCCUGAAGAUCGGGAUAACGGCCGAAAGCCGGGUAAUACCGAAUAUGGACGUAGAACCGCAUGGUUUUACGUAGAAAGGUGGGGACCUUCGGGCCUGCCACUUCAGGAGGGGUCCAUGCCGUAUUAUGCUUGUUGGUGGGGUAAAAGCCUACCAAGGCUAUGAUGCGUAGGGGGUCUUAGCGGAUGGCCCCUCACACUGGGACUGAGACACUGCCCAGACACCUACGGGUGGCUGCAGUCGAGAAUAGUUGUCAAUGGACGAAAGUCUGAACACGGGAUGCCGCGUGGAGGAUGACGGCCUUCGGGUUGUAAACUCCAAUUCACUGUCUAAGAAAAGCUGGGGGCUAAUACCCCAUCAGUAUUGACCGGACAGAGGGAAGCCACGACUAACUUCGUGCCAGCAGUCGCGGUAAUACGAAGGUGGCGAGCGUUACUCGGAAUUACUGGGCAUAAAGGGUCCGUAGGCGGCCAUAUAAGUUGGUGUUGAAAUCCCCCGGCUCAACCGGGGAACUGGCUCCAAAACUGUAUGGCUCGAGAGCGGGAGGGGCUCGUGGAACUCUUGGUGGAGCGGUGAAAUGCGUAGAGAUCAAGAGGAACACCGGUGGCGAAGGCGACGAGCUGGACCGCAACUGACGCUGAGGGACGAAAGCCAGGGGAGCGAACGGGAUUAGAUACCCCGGUAGUCCUGGCCGUAAACGUUGGAUACUAGGUAGUGGAGUUCUCAUGGCUUCACUGCCGGAGCUAAUGUUUUAAGUAUCCCGCCUGGGGAGUAUAGUCGCAAGGCUGAAACUCAAAGGAAUUGACGGGGGCUCACACAAGCGGUGGGGUAUGUGGUUUAAUUCGAUGCAACGCGCAGAACCUUACCCGGUCUUGACAUGUACGAAUUAGCUCUGUGAAAGCAGAGUGACGCGGCUUGCCGUGGAACGUACACAGGUGUUGCAUGGCUGCCGUCAGCUCGUGUCGUGAGAUGUCGGGUUAAGUCCCAUAACGAGCGCAACCCUUAUCACUAGUUGCCAGCACUUCGGGUGGGGACUCUAGUGAGACUGCCGCGAAAGCAGGAGGAAGGUGGGGACGACGUCAAGUCAUCAUGGCCCUUAUGACCGGGGCUACACACGUGCUACAAUGGUCGGUACAAAGGGUUGCCAACCCGCAAGGGGGAGCUAAUCCCAAAAAGCCGGCCCCAGUUCGGAUUGUGGGCUGCAAUUCGCCCGCAUGAAGGUGGAAUCGCUAGUAAUCGCGGGUCAGCUACACCGCGGUGAAUAAGUUCCUGAGCCUUGUACACACCGCCCGUCAAGCCAUGCAAGCUGGGUGCACCCGUAGUCGUUGACCCAACCCCUCGGGGAGGGAGGCGCCGACGGUGUAUUCAGUGAGUGGGACUAAGUCGUAACAAGGUAACCA